UGAAGGAGGCACCGUGCUGAAUUCACAAUGAACAAUUUUCAUUACUUAAAAAGAGAAAGUAAGCAUCUGCCAUAAUGACAGCAUUUGGGGCCAUUGAACUGGAACAAGAAGAAGCAAACCUAGGAAGAUAUUAUCCCAUUCCUGAGUUUAUUCCCUUAUGAAGUAGGGCUGAGCAGAUUCAGUACAGCAUCUUUCAGCUAUUGAUUGCUAAACCAGAGCAUCAGCAACCUGAACAGUUUGCUGGCCUUGUCUGUGAUUCACAGACACAGCUAGAUGGACUGCGUCAUGUGCCCUGACAAAACUACCUCCUGAACAGGAGACCUUCAAGUGGUUAUAAAUCAUGACUGGAGGUCAGGAAAGUCAAAGUGGAAAAAACUCAAAGCAGUCUUAUCACCUGAUAAGAAGAAAGCUGGAAAAGUACACAAUGAUAAAUUCAUUUUGAAAAAAUAACUGUGCAGUAAAUGCAUAACAUUGUUUUCAAAACUCAGAAUAAAUGUCAGAG